GCCACGAUCGCGCGUGUGCAAUGGGCCAAUCCCGCGGAAACGCUCGGGAUCCUGCACCUGCGCGGUACCUCCCGCGUGUAUCACCCAGGUCUGGCAGAGGGCGCGGCAGAUAGCGCAUGUGCCACCUGCCACCUCACUCCUCCGGAUUACGUGUCUAGACCAGUGGUGGAGAAUCCGUACUACUUCAACCAAAAACUCACACUUUAAAGGGAAAUGUCAAGUCAUCCCCCUCUCAUGUGGGCCUCUAAGAAACAAGUUUGACUCUAGAGAUGUGAACUGAAGUAAUGACCUCCUGAAACUUGAUCAUGGUCAAGAGAAGAUGCCCCUGCUGACUGUAAACAAAGUGUCCUUCACUGUUCAAGCAAAAGAAUGCUUUGGUCUUCUUGGCCUCAGUGGAGCCGGAAAAACCUCCAUUUUCAAAAAUGCUGACUGGGAGGAGUCUAUCACCACUGGAGUUGCCUUUGUUAGGGGGCUCAGAAACAGCUGUAACCUAGGGAAGCAGUUGCCUGCACAUUUGUCUUCUAGAGGAAGCCUGUCUCUAGCAACCAAAGCCCCUUCCUUAGUGUGUGAAGUUUGCAAACUUUCUUCUUCAGGCCUGGGAAUUUAGCUCAGUGGCACAAACGCCUGUCUGGUAGAAAAGCACACCUCCCAACAGCCAUGGAGAUCCUCAGAGAAGACUCUGCCUACACGCUCACCAUAGAAUAAUCUCUGUGUUCAGAGAAACAGUUUAGAUCUCCAGUAAAAUUGCCCAGUGGGAAAAAGUGGUACAGCCAGCAUCUCUGUAGGUCUGUAUGGCAGAAAUGUCAAUAGCUGGUGCAAAACCUGCCAGGAGAUUCCUGGGCACUGCACAUGGACCAUACUCUCUGCACGGGAAUCAGGAACAAGACAGUGUCCUGAAAGGUGAAUACCAAGGCAUGGUCCACUACAACCUGGCUGGCCACAAUCUGAGCUGGCAAAGGUGUUUGGCGUUCUGGAACAAGCCAAGAAAAAGUGUAUGACAGAAGACUACUCUUUCAGCCAGAUUUCCCUGGAGACCAACUUCUUGCUUGUCACCAGCCCUGUGUCCCCCACUCAAGUUAAAGGGUGAGCAGAGCCAGCUUGCCCCUCAUCACCCUCAUGGGGUCCCUCUUGGCCUUCCUCAUCUUCUCUUUGCCAUACUCGCUCACACCCUCCUUCAGAACAUGUUCUACUGUAAUAAAGACCUUGGUGCAUGCUA